rnacentral:rRNA from 1 species
GAUGAACGCUGACGGAAGGCUUAACACAUCAGCAAGUGAUUGGUGGCGGACGGGUGAGUAAGGCGUAAAGAACUUGCGGCACAGCUGGGGACAACAUUGGGAAAGGAAUGAUAAUACCUAAUCCUGUGAGAGAGCUGUGCGUCCCAUUAGCUAGUGGGAGAGGUAACGGCUCACCAAGGCGAUGAUGGGUAGCCGGACUGAGAGGGUGAUCGGGCCCAAAGGGACUGGGACACGGCCAUUACUGCUACUGGAGGCAGCGGUGUGUAACAUUGCACGAUAGACCAAAGUCUGAUCAAGCAAUUCUGUGUGCACGAUGAAGUUGUCGGAAUGUAAAGCGCUUUGAGUUUGGAAUCGGUACCAACAGAAGAAGUGCCGGCUAAAUACGUGCCAGCAGCCGCGGUAAUAC